UACAGAGGGUGCGAGCGUUGUCCGGAAUCACUGGGCGUAAAGGGCGUGUAGGCGGUUGAGUAAGUGGAAUGUGAAAUGCCCCGGCUCACCCGGGGGACCGGCAUUCCAUACUGCUCAGCUCGAGUAUGGGAGAGGAUGAGGGAAUUCCUGGUGUAGCGGUGAAAUGCGUAGAUAUCAGGAGGAACACCGGUGGCGAAAAGCGCUCAUCUGGCCCCAAUACUGACGC
rnacentral:rRNA from 1 species